rnacentral:rRNA from 1 species
AUUGAACGCUGGCGGCAGGCCUAACACAUGCAAGUCGAACGAGUGGCGGACGGGUGAGUAAUGUCUGGGAAACUGCCCGAUGGAGGGGGAUAACUACUGGAAACGGUAGCUAAUACCGCAUACCAUCGGAUGUGCCCAGAUGGGAUUAGCUCGUAGGUGAGGUAACGGCUCACCUAGGCGACGAUCCCAAGCUGGUCUGAGAGGAGGACCAGCCACACUGGAACUGAGACACGGUCCAGACUCCUACGGGAGGCAGCAGUGGGGAAUAUUACACAAUGGGCGCGAGCCUGAUGCAGCCAAGCCACAUGGAUGAAGAAGGCCUUCGGGUUGUAAAGUACUUUCAGCGGGGAGGCGUUACCCGCAGAAGAAGCACCGGCUAACUCCGUGCCAGCAGCCGCGGUAAUAC